AAAAAAAAAAAAAAAAAAACUAGAGGAGAAAAACGGGUGCUUGAAAUAACAAAAUUUUCAAUAUUUCUUAUUUAGUUGGAUAUUCAUAGUUUACAAUGUAUAAACAUAUAGAAAUAAUUUACAAAAUUAUAAAAGAAAUAAAAUUAUAUAACCACCCCCAAUCCAAUUUGUUCGCGAGGUAGGGAUGAUGGGAAUGAUAAACUUUGCUCCCCUCAGUACAAUACCAUUACCUUGUUUUGUCAAACACUUUAUAUAUUAGCUAUGAUCUAUGAUCAACUAUCGACUAACAACAACAAUCAUCAAUUUCAAUUAUAUUCAAUGAUUAAACUAAACAAGCUCUAAAUACCACGUGCCUUUGGCCUUCUAUCUCUUCCUUUCCAUGGAAAAACACAUGCCAUGAUGAUCUUGAGAUAUCUAAAAGUUUUAACUUCUGGCUAGCAAAUAUGAUGCACAAAUUAUGCUAUUUUGAAAUGUGAAUGAUACUUGCUUUAGCACCACAUCCUAAAUUCCUAAUGCAUAGCAAUACCAGACAAUUCAAAAAUUGAUUGGAAGUCCAAAUGUGAUAAGCAUCUCCUUUCCCCUAAAUAAUUGUCUACCAGAAUGUCGACAGAUUUCAUUAAGAUAUAUAAGAUUAGUUUGUGUUGAAGUACUGGCUUAGACAAGAACAUUAUUUUCUACUCAUUGAAAUGCCAAACCAUACAGUCAUACAACAUAAAACUUUGGAAAGCAAAUUAGAUAUUAAAAGAACUGAAUACAUAUAAAUUCAAAAAAUAAUUCUUUAUCAUAUCAUUAAAUAAGUUGAUCAGUGAUUCAACAGUCAGAGCUACAGCAAUAACAUGUAUAUCCUCCUAAUUUCCCAAAAACGGUUUAGAAAUAAAAUUCAUGCAGGGAGAGAUGCGUACAUACUAAAAUAGGAAUCCACUUUUUAAGCAUAUUCAUAUGCAUGGAUCAAACCGUUGGUUUGCGCUGGAACCCAGUUCCUGGGUCAUCAUCGCAAGGAAACAUCUGGAAGCCAGUAACUAUAGCAUCAGGUGGACCACGACGGCAUCUCUGCUCCAUCUCCUGCACCUUAUCAGAAUCCCCAGAGAAGAGUGCUUCCACGGAACCAUCCCUCCUGUUCCUAACCCAACCUUUCAACCCCAACUGGGUGGCAUUCUCCACUGUCCAGUUCCUAUAGAACACUCUUUGCACCCUCCCCUUGAUCACGGCCCUCACCUAGAAACCACCAAAGCUUCUUAAUCCGAGGACGCUCUGCGACUCAUCCAGUUGACAAGGAAUUGCAAGAGCAUCUUUAUGGGAAUCCAAAUUCUUCCUCAGCUUGCUUUACCUCAAGAACUCAGGAUUAUUAAGAAAAUCCAAUUCAACUAUGAUACCUUUUUGGUUCCCAACCUUGUGUUGCAACCACCGCAAAGUGACCUUCUCUCAUCCACUAAAAGAUGGUAAGAGACCAGUUUGCAACUUUCCCAUAAUGAAUCUCAUCAUUCUAACACUUCCCUUCCUCACUCCAUAAAUAUUUUUAACCUUACCCAUUUUGACUGACUUGCAAAAUGUUUAAUUUUUUUUUUUUACAAAAUAAGAAAUACAUAACAAGUAGAUGGUAUCAAAAUUCUGGAAAUAGUGAUGGACAGUGGUGCCAUUGCAUGUGAAGGUUCAAGAAUCUUCACUUCAAUUGCUUUCCCUUUAUUGGUUGAGUUUAUUUGAAUCUUUGAUAUCCUGUAUUAUGACAGCUGCACUAAUGGGGUCUACUUCACACUUUAUGCAAGUAAGACCAAAAAAAUACCUAUGAUAAACAUGUGCACUUCUUCCAGCCAUUUUACACAUCCUAAUCUAAACAAGCAAAUAUGCCAUCCAUUUACUAAUUGCUGGACUAGCCCUGGGCCAUGGCUAACACAAUGGUGAUUU
rnacentral:misc_RNA from 1 species